GACAAACGCUGGCGGCAUGCCUAACACAUGCAAGUCGAACGGACAGAACAGGGAAGCUUUUCGGAGUGGAACUGGAAAGUUAGUGGCGGAUGGGUGAGUAACGCGUGGACAACCUACCUUGUAAAGGGGAAUAACCUCGAGAAAUCGAAGCUAAUACCCCAUAAUAACCUUGCUUCGCAUGAAGUAAGGAGGAAAGGCGGCCUUAGCGCUGUCGAUACAAGAUGGGUCCGCGUCUGAUUAGCUAGUUGGUGAGGUAAAGGCUCACCAAGGCGACGAUCAGUAGCCGGCCUGAGAGGGUGAACGGCCACAUUGGGACUGAGCCACGGCCCAAACUCCUACGGGAGGCCGCAGUGGGGAAUCUUCCGCAAUGGGCGAAAGCCUGACGGAGCAAUGCCGCGUGAGUGAAGAAGGCCUUCGGGUUGUAAAACUCUGUCCUUAUCGAAGAGAGAGUGUUGUAGUAACUGACAAUACUAGGACGGUAGAUGAGGAGGAAGCCCCGGCUAACUAUGUG
rnacentral:rRNA from 1 species